UUCGCAAUGCCCGAAAGGGUGAACGAGCGACGCCGCGUGCGGGAUGAAGGGUUUCGGCUUGUAAACCGCUUUUCUUUGGGAAGAAGGUCUGUCUCGUGAAGAUGGGCUCGACGGUACCAGAGGAAUAAGCCUCGGCUAACUCCGUGCCAGCAGCCGCGGUAAGACGGAGGAGGCGAGCGUUAUUCGGAAUCACUGGGCUUAAAGCGCGUGUAGGCGGAUGGGAACGUCGGUCUUUGAAAGCCCCCGGCUCAACCGGGGAAGCGGAGCCGAAACGACCGAUCUGGAGGGACGUAGGGGGACCUGGAACUUCCGGUGGAGCGGUGAAAUGCGUAGAUAUCUGGAAGAACACCGGUAGCGAAGGCGGUGGUCUGGGCCGAAACUGACGCUGAGGCGCGAAAGCCAGGGGAGCAAACGGGAUUAGAUACCCUAGUAGUCCACGCUGUAAACUAUGGGCACUAAGUAGAGGGGUUUU
rnacentral:rRNA from 1 species